GGUUAGCCUGGCAUCCGAGGGCCGAGCCUCGGGAAAUUCCGCUCGUUGGUCGGCCAAGGCUGGCGCAAGCCGAGGCGACCGGUCGGGGCUUCAGGCUAGUCUGCUCCCGGGAUGAUCAUCGGGUUAGCCUGGCAUCCGAGGGCCGAGUCUCGGGAAAUUCCGCUCGUUGGCCACGCGCCUGUCGCUUGCCGCUCGACGGGAUCUCUCCGUGGCCAGCUACGAUCGUGUUUCUCCUAUUCUCCAAGCGUCGCCUGGGGAACACCAGAAGAGUACUAAAUGCUAAUUGAGGCGUUACCUGAAAAAUCGGAUCGCCAGUUGCUGCUUGCAAGGAGUGUCAGUUAAGCGGCCGCGAUACGCGCGCUCUUCGAGGCGGAUGCGGCCUGGGCGCGAGCGGAGAUACGUGGGCCGUGGGAUACACACCGCCCGGAGUGUCCUGCAUGAAGAAUGCAAUUAAGGAGAACGACGCUUAGGAGAUCGUGGGAGGAUACGCCUCGAGAGCUGGAACGGCUCCGGAUUCGGUGCGCCCGCCUUUAUUGGAGCCACCCGCAUCGGAAUGACCGGGGGGCCACAGUUUGGCUAUAAAUAUAAGUGCAGGUGCGGUGGAGCCUCCCAAGCCGGAGCUAUUCAGGUUGCCAUGGAUCGUAGACCUCCUCUCCGGCGUGUGGCUGG
rnacentral:lncRNA from 1 species